AUGCUCGUACAAAGGGACCAAACGUUUGCUACCCUCACGGCAUUUCCAAGCAAAAGAUAAUCUGUGAACGGACAGAAGGCACUGUUUGCUACACUAUGUGAGCAAGAGGCAAAUAAAGUUAAGGUGGGCUUACAACGUUGUUAAUGAUUCUCAGAAGCUACGAAGAUGAAACUGUCUGAAGAGGCGCCGCUGGUGCAAUCGCCAAUCUCGCAAUGAAUGAUUCAAGAAGUAAACACUUGGCUAUAAAUACAUCCAAGGGAUUGAAGGAGAAAAUGACUUUCUCGAAAAUUUGAGAAAUA